UAUGCUGCUCGGCCUUUUGGCUAAGAUCAAGUGUAGUAUCUGUUCUUAUCAGCUUAAUAUCUGAUACGCCCCCUAUCUGGGGUCCAUAUAUUAAAUGGAUUUUUAGAACAGGGAGAUGGAAGAAGAGCUUGCUCUGUCCACUCCACGCAUUAACCUGGUAUAGCAGUACCUCCAGGACCGGUGCACCAAAA
rnacentral:snRNA from 1 species